GAAGAAGUCCAGCAGUAAAAUAGAUGAAAUAAUUGAUCGGAGUGAAUUUUCAAAUAUAGAAUCUCUGCAGUUUCGUUUGAGUGCAAUUAAAGCUGCGACCAAUAACUUCGAUAAUCGUAACAAGCUAGGUGAAGGGGGAUUUGGUUCUGUGUACAAGGGUACCCUUCCUAACGGACAGGAAAUAGCUGCCAAGAGGCUAUCUAAAUGCUCUGGGCAAGGUGCAGAGGAAUUUAAGAAUGAAAUUGAAUCAGUAACCAAGCUUCAACAUAGAAAUCUGGUAAGGUUGCUAGGACUCUGCUUUGAAGGAGAAGAAAAGAUACUUGUCUAUGAGUUUGUGCCCAACAGAAGCCUGGACUACUUUUUAUUUGAUGCUGUAAGGAAGGAUCAAUUGUAUUGGCCAAAACGAUACAAGAUUAUUGUGGGAAUUGCUCGAGGACUUCUUUACUUGCAUGAAGAUUCUCGGCUUAGAAUU
rnacentral:misc_RNA from 1 species